UGAGGAAUAUUGGACAAUGGGGGCAACCCUGAUCCAGCCAUGCCGCGUGUAUGAAGAAGGCCUUAGGGUUGUAAAGUACUUUCAAACGUGAAGAUAAUGACGGUAGCGUUAGAAGAAGCUCCGGCUAAAUUCGUGCCAGCAGCCGCGGUAAUACGAAUGGAGCAAGCGUUGUUCGGAAUCACUGGGCUUAAAGCGUGCGCAGGCGGAUAUCCAAGUCAGAAGUGAAAUCCCAGGGCUCAACCCUGGAACUGCUUUUGAAACUGGGUAUCUAGAAUCCGGGAGAGGUCAGUAGAAUUCCCAGUGUAGAGGUGAAAUUCGCAGAGAUUGGGAGGAAUACCAGUGGCGUAGGCGACUGACUGGACCGGUAUUGACGCUGAGGCACGAAAGCGUGGGGAGCAAACA
rnacentral:rRNA from 1 species